GAAGCCAACCGUCCUCGGUUUCCUGGCCUGUGGCAUCAGUCUGGUUGGAUUACACACAAAGCCCUGCAGAUCUGCUGCUUUUCCUGAUUCUCCUGUCCUGAGUGAGUGCAAGGGGCUCCCCUGUCGCCGAUGUGUUCUUUGAAGCAGAUGCUGUGCCUGAUACCUGCUGGAGAGUCCCACCGCCUUGAGCUUCUGGGUCGAGAAAGGCCAAGUUGCACACUACUGAGAGACUGCCAUGCACCCCCUGGAGGCCUCAGAACAUUCGACAUGCUCCAGUCAUGGCCACGGCAGUGACUGCUGAUUGCCUAACCCCACAUGUGUUCUCCCCCUUCCCUGAUAAUCAAGCCCCUGAUUUUCAGCUGGGCACAAAAUAAUUCUUCCUAGAACAACUCCACGUGUGUUAUCGCCCUUGCAGCUGGGGGUGGCCACCACUGGGGAGAGGCAGGGUGAAGAGGUCGAAGGAGCCUGAGUUAGCAGGGAUGAGCAGUGGCCAGGUAACCCCAGACCCAUUAUCCUCUGGAUUUCUUUUAUGUGAAACAAUAAAAUGUCUUGUAUUCGA
rnacentral:lncRNA from 10 species